GCCACCAAUGCUUCCUCAGGGGUGGGGAUUGGGGUUGGAAUGAAGUGAAGAAGGGAAACAAGCAGGCACUAGGAGCAAAGUGGUUGAAGCUUGGUGCACAAUGGCUAAUUUCAUCCUAAGGUCUACGAAAUAGAACUAAUUUUGUCCAAGAGAUAAAUAUUGUGGAAAACUAUACUUCAUAAAUAAAAAAUAUGACCCUACCAUUCCAAUUCCUGCCCUUGAAUUCCUAGUGAUAUCUGCCUAUGUAAACUUCCAAGGCCCUCUGUUCUCUGUGGGGAACAGAAGUUCUUGAUGGCAAUGUGUUUGCAAUGGACAAACUAAGAGAACAAAACCAGAAGAAAGUAAAACCAUUUCAAAAUUAUAUUCCCCAAUUCUGUUACUUCAUAAUAUAUGUGAUAAAGUCAAGAAUGGCUAUUUGAGACAAUUUUGAACAUUAUAGCAAAGUACUAAUGAAGUUCAAAUUAUGGCAAAAUCAGCUUUAAAAUGUGUAAACAUACAUAAUGGACUUCAUUAUACCAUAUUCAUGUAUUUACAACAUUGUAUUUUGCUAAAAUUUACCCAUUGUAAGUGGAUGAAAUAUAUUCCAAAUAAAUGGGCAUUUUCUGUAAUACCCAAAGAACCAAAUGUAAUAUCCAUGAACAUUUCUGUGCUGUUUCUGUGGAUUCUAACUUGUGCUGACUAAG
rnacentral:lncRNA from 1 species